rnacentral:sRNA from 1 species
UUUCCCAGGUGAUGUCACAGCAAGAGAGAGGGGAAAAAAGGACACGUGACACACUUACAUUUGAGGUUCCUAAUGUAUGCUAAUGAUAUAGGAAUAUGGUAUUUUAGUAUGAUUUAAAUACCAAGGAAUUGUAGACUUCACACCCAGCAUAGGAUUUCCUCUCUUAAGCAGAGUUUUAGGAUGAAAAUAUUGUAUCAAGAGUUGGACACUGGGGAUUUAGCUCAGUGGUAGAGCACUUGCCUAGCAAGCGCAAGGCCCUGGGUUCGGUCCUCAGCUCCAAAAAAACCCCAAAAAACAAAAAACCAAACAAAUAAAAAAAAAAAGAGUUGGACACUCUCUUCGAAGAACCAAACUAGUAUUAAUAAGCUUGAUUAAAGAGGUAAACUAGUAUUAACAAGCUUGAUUAAAGAGGUAAACUAGUAUUAAUAAGCUUGAUUAAAGAGGUAAACUAGUAUUAACAAGCUUGAUUAAAGAGGUAAAGUGGACAUACAUUUGGGUCUCACUACGUAGUUCAGGCUUGCAUGAAUUUUAUAUCCCUAAAAAAAAAACUUUAUCACUCCAAUUUUGUCCUGUAGUGUAAAUCUUAGAGGAAAUUACUAAUUCCUCCAUAAUAACUUUACUCCAGCUAAGUAAAAAUUUAAUGAACAAAAACCCUGGAACUUGCUCUGUAGACCAGGUUGUCCUCAAACUUACAGAGAUCCUCCUCAGUGCUGGGAUUAAAGUCCUGAGCCAUCACGGCCCAGGCAAAACUCCGUUUUAAAAGAGCUACUGAUCAGGGGAUGGAGAUGGAGAUCAGUGGUAGAGGACUUGCCUAAAUCGUAGGCCUGAACUUGAUCUGCAGCAGGACAAAACAAUAGAAAUAAAGAUUAAGAAAAAGCCAGUGGGGGCUGAAGAGAUGCGUCAGGCAUUAGGAGUGUUACUGACUGUUCUAGAAGACCGAGUUCCACUCCCAGUACCCACAUCAGGCAGUUCACAACUGACUAUAAAUUUAAUUCCUGGUGAUCUGAAGCCCUCCUAGGGCACAUAUACACACACUUUAACAUAAUAAAAAAAAGUCAGUGUUAGUAAAAAAUGGUCUUAUGGCCUCUUCAAAUAUUGAUGGUUCUUGACCUAUCACAAACAAAAGAAGGAUCAAUAAAAGAUUAGACAAUGGCCAGCUUUCUCCCUCCAACCCUCUCCUCUGUGUCAGGGUCAUGAUAUAUAGUGCUGGUUGCCUCCAAAUUAGUGGCAAUUCUCCUACCUAUCAUUCCAAUUACUGGGAUUAUAGGCAAACAACCACACUGGGCAGGUGCUUGCUUUUACUAAUUCACAUACACUAUGCUAAUGUUAACACAAGAGCUUUCCUUCCUCCCAGUGCUCAACACUGGGUCUGAAUGUAACUUCCACUCAUCAAAAGUUAAUCUGUUUUACACACACACACACACACACACACACACACACACGCGCGCGCGCGCGUGCCAGCAUUCUGGGACUAUCUGAAAGAAGAUACUGAAUAUCAGAGCAGAGUAUUUUUAACCAACAGUCUUGUAAGCCUAGACCUGGUGUGUACACAGUUCUAGCUUGUUCUGCCAAUGCCAGCUGUGGCAGAUGCUCCAAGAGAAGAGCUGCUGGAAAAACACGUCAAGCACAGAAGACACAUUCCCAAAUAGAAAGCUCUACCCUUGAACUAUGAACUCUCUGCGAAGUUUUAAAGCCUUUAAAUCUGGAAUCCUGGAAUAUGAACCAGAAAAAUUUGAAAGAAAACAAUACUCUGUGUACUUUCAGGAUGUGCUUAAGGUUUCUAGUGAUGUUGACACGAGCUUGUGUAGAACAAGAAGGAAGCAAGAGAGCUAUGUAUGUGAUGUGGUGGCACCGGAACUCUGUCAAGUUGUUUGUAUGUCAAGCAACAGGAAAUAAUUCACUUUAUCGAAAUGACUCGAUGCUGUUGCAGGGAACAACCCUGAUAAUGCAGAAAUUCAUAACGAACCGGAAAUCUGGGCAUGAUAGAGCAAUCGUGUAGUUCUCGAGGCUGAGGAUGGGGGACUCUCAAGUUCCUGGCCAGACCAUGCUACACAAGGAGAAGGACCCUUUCAAUAAGUCAACAAAUCCAAGGACCACUAAAACUGAUAUAAUUUUGAACUGCUAAAACAUUUUAAUUAUAUCUAUUAUUUUAUUUUGUUUUGGGGAGGAGGGUGCCAGGGCCCAGCAUGUGGAGAUCAUAGAUAACCUGCAAGUUGUGCUCUGGAUAGCAGAUCCAGCACCUCUACUCACUGGGCUAUCUUGCUGACCUUUCAUUUAAUUUUUUAAAAUCAAGUAACCGCGCCCCCACCCUCACACCACUCUCCAAAAAAAAAAAAAAAAAAAAAAAAAAAAACCCAAUCCACAACCACCACCAAAAACCUCAAAGCCUUUUAGAUCGCUAGUAGUGCAGCUCUAAAAGAGGCUUUGGUCGAGAUGUGGCAUAUGGGCUGUAAUCUGUAAAACCUCUGUCCUAAGUGCACACACUAAGUCCUAGCUCAAUGAGAAGAUAGAGCUGGAGGGACAGUUCGGUCCAGGGGGCUGAGCCUGGUAUAAUCAAUAUAGCAAGAUCCUGUCUCAAAACAAAACAACCCAAACACCGAGGCUAGCCUUGCUCACUUUUGCCACAGCAUUUUCGGGCAGCCAGGAUUUUAUUUUCAGCUGGAAAACAUUUAUUGACUCAAUGAGAAUGUGACAAAGACAUAGACCCAACCCACAGAGCUCUCAGUGGCCAGACAGGAACAAUAUUAGCAAUAGAUAAAGCAGAACUGAACUAUAACUCCAAAUAUAAGGUAAAUACCUAUGAGCCCGUACUGAUGCAUAAAAAAGGGAGGACAGACAAGUAAGUUUCCAGUACAGAAAGAUCCCAAACAGUUCUUGGAGUCACUUUCCCGCAGGCACGUGAACUGUAACUCCGUACUGUAAAGGCAAACUUCUUGCACUGACUUCCUUCCAAAGGGCACAGGACGGAGGAGGAAAUGGAAGAUAACUGACCGGGGACAACGCUGACAAACAGUUCUCGAGCAGAGCUUACGACUUAGAGGUUAGGAUGACAGCGUGCGCCCUUGCUGUGUGAUGGAAGUUAACACUUCACUAGUCAUCUGAGAAACUCACGAACCCAGACAAUCAGGAGAAAAGCUCCUGAUAAACCCAACCAAGGCCAUUCUACAAAACACCACAAGUUCACACUGUGAGAGACGCAAACAAGUGAGUCUGAGAAAGUGCCCAGGGAAGACAAGAUAAGAAGGGUGGGGGUGUAAGUCAGGGUAGAACAUGUGUGAAGAGGUCCUGGGUUUAAUCUCUGGCCCAGAGUGCGGUAAGAUAAGAAGCCAGGAUGACUAGGUGCAUUGUGAUACCCAAGAGAGACUCCUGGGACAUUAAUAAAAGUUAGGGAAUCUGAAAA